ACCUAGAUGCGCAUCGGUGGUCCAGUGUGCAGGCUUCAAACCCGUAGCUAACCGAGUCAGAGUUAAUCAAUUCCACCUUCUAGGCG